UGCUCUGAUGGCCUAGUGGUUAGAAUGUCUGCCUGGGAUGCCGGAGGUCAUGUGUUCGAUCCCCAGUUGAGUCA